GAGUGGACUCCUACGGGAGGCAGCAGUAGGGAAUCUUCGGCAAUGGACGGAAGUCUGACCGAGCAACGCCGCGUGAGUGAAGAAGGUUUUCGGAUCGUAAAGCUCUGUUGUAAGAGAAGAACGAGUGUGAGAGUGGAAAGUUCACACUGUGACGGUAUCUUACCAGAAAGGGACGGCUAACUACGUGCCAGCAGCCGCGGUAAUACGUAGGUCCCGAGCGUUGUCCGGAUUUAUUGGGCGUAAAGCGAGCGCAGGCGGUUAGAUAAGUCUGAAGUUAAAGGCUGUGGCUUAACCAUAGUACGCUUUGGAAACUGUUUAACUUGAGUGCAAGAGGGGAGAGUGGAAUUCCAUGUGUAGCGGUGAAAUGCGUAGAUAUAUGGAGGAACACCGGUGGCGAAAGCGGCUCUCUGGCUUGUAACUGACGCUGAGGCUCGAAAGCGUGGGGAGCAAACAGGAUUAGAUACCCUUGUAGUCCUGAGU
rnacentral:rRNA from 1 species